GACAGAGGGUGCAAACGUUGCUCGGAAUUAUUGGGCGUAAAGAGCUCGUAGGCGGUUUGUCACGUCGGAUGUGAAAACCCGAGGCUUAACCUCGGGCCUGCAUUCGAUACGGGCUGACUAGAGUUCGGUAGGGGAGACUGGAAUUCCUGGUGUAGCGGUGAAAUGCGCAGAUAUCAGGAGGAACACCGGUGGCGAAGGCGGGUCUCUGGGCCGAUACUGACGCUGAGGAGCGAAAGCGUGGGGAGCGAACAGG
rnacentral:rRNA from 1 species